GACGAUGUCAUCACGAGGCGACGCCGCCGCUAGCCACGCGCGCCCCGCGGCCCUCGGAGCUUUUGCAGGAGGCUUUGGUGGGGCCAAGCGGCUGCGGUGAGGACGAGGGAGGGGCUGUGGCGGCCGUAGCGCCCGAGCUCUUUCUGCGUUUAGGAGUUUUAGAGGCGCGGCCCAUGGCAGCGUGGCAGUCUUAGAGUUGCCGAGAUGCGAGCAUGCGCAAUGCGUGCCUGCCAGAGCGAGGGGAGGGUGGAACCUCCGCAUGGAGCAUGCGCCGUGCAUACCGGUGGAGGAGCGGAGUUCAGGAGGCCGGUCGGGUGAGCAUGCGCAGUGGCUGCCCGCGGGGCGCAAGCCGGAGGCUGGGAGAGACAGGGUCUCCUUCUGUUGCCCAGCUUGGAGCACACCUGUGUGAUCUCGGCUCGCUGCAGACUCCACCUCCCGGGUUCAAGCGAUCCUCCUGUCUCAGCCUCCCGAGUAGCUGGGAUUACAGGCACCCGCCACCACGCCCGGCUACUUUUGUAUUUUUAGUGGAGACGCGGUUUCACCAUGUUGGCCAGGCUGGUCUCGAACUCCCGACCUCGAGUGAUCCUCCCGCCUCGGCCUCCCAAAGUGCGGGGAUGACAGGCGUGAGCCAACUCGCCCGGCCACACAGUUGCCUUUUUAUGUGAUGCGCAUCAUGUAGAUGGAAGAGAAAUCAAACGGCCCCAUCUACCGGGGUGGGAUUGCAGCCUGUUCCAAUGUCUCAUUUAUUCCCUGGGUGCUGGGAGAGUCUCUGGGAUGACAAGACUGAUGGUUCCUGACCCAGGCCAGGGCAAUGCAUGACUUUUGACGCCUCGGAGAAGCUCUUCCUUCCUGGACUGUAUUCUGACACAGAGUGCGUCUGACGCUUUACCCAGCGGCGCCCAGAGCGACCUUCAUCGCGGCCACCGGCCAGCACCGUCUUCUGGAUCUUCAGCGGCUUGAGGAACUUUCUGUCCGCUUCUGGGUUGACUGAAUUUUUAUCGUGAAAAGGCACUGCCUUUGCUCAAAUGCUUUUCCUGCAUUUCUGCAAAUGGUCAUAAACGAGGUUUCACCAUGUUGGCCACGUUGAUCUCAAACUCCUCACCUCAGGUGAUCCACCCUCCUCAGCCUCCCAGAUGUGACUUUGCUCCUUCUUCAUCUUCCGCCAUGAUUGUGAGGCCUCCCCAGCCAUGUGGAACUAUCUCCGAGUCGAGAUCACGCACACCGUUUUCUAUAAUCCAGGGAUUUGGAGCCGCCGGAGGGAGAUGGAGUUUCACCAUGUUGGUCAGACUGGUCUCGAACUCCUCACCUCAAGCGAUCCACCCGCCUCGGCCUCCCAAAGCGCUGGGAUUCCAGGCGUGAGCCACCGCGCCCGGUGUAAUUCGUUCCCUUAACCGUAAACGUCUCCAGGCGAGGAAUGCUGAACUUUCUGAGAAGGCAGCCAGCAAGUUCCAGCCUCAUUUUCCAGCCGUCAGUCAAGAUGGAGUCACCGUGUUUCAUUCGCCUCUGACAACGGGUCCUCCCGGACGCCACGUGGCUUGUUCUGAAGCCGGGCCGGAGACACCGUCUGGACCCCACAGUGCUCCCCAGGGCCGCCUCCAAAAGGAUCCCACCCCAGGGAGCCGUGCAAACACCAUAAAUCCUGCUAAUUGCCACGUUCCCGGCAGCCAGAAUCCGUGGUCUCUCUAUAGUGGGCUCACGGUCUCCAGCCAAGAGCUCAAUCUUGCUUCUGGACAAAUAUUACCGAGAAAUGUCUGCAAACCCCGGCUGCCCGGCUCCCACAUCACAGGGGCUGCGUCUCAGAAAACAACUUGCUUCUGCCAAUCCACCCCCCACCACUGCCUCCCCGGGCACCUCGCCACACAGGACGCUCUGGCUUCCCGUAAGAACACCCGUGUCUGUGACCUGCGGGUGGGGUCACCUCCCCGGCCUACAUGCAAGACCCAGCACACAGGCCAGGACGUCAGGGUGUCGUGAGGGGCCGUCGGAGAACAUCUAAGGGACGUCCCUGCAUUCCUGGCUGGAGGUCCUGCACCAGCAGCCUCCGUGUGAGAAAACUUUCACUCUGCAAACUCUCAGAGCCCCCACCUGCUCCCGCCUCCCGUCUGUCCUGGUUCUUGGGACCCCGGAGCCUUCUCUGUCCAGACCUCCCAGGUCCUGACGGGAAUCCGGAUAAACUCGUUGGGGCGAAGGUGUUAACGGCAGGCCCCUGUCUAAUGUAUUUCGCCACCCAGAUAAAAUGAGUGUUUUCACA